rnacentral:rRNA from 1 species
UGCGAAGGCAAGCGGAUCUCUUAAAGCCGUUCUCAGUUCGGACUGUAGGCUGCAACUCGCCUACACGAAGCUGGAAUCGCUAGUAAUCGCGGAUCAGCACGCCGCGGUGAAUACGUUCCCGGGCCUUGUACACACCGCCCGUCACACCAUGAGAGUCUGUAACACCCAAAGCCGGUGGGAUAACCUUUAUAGGAGUCAGCCGUCUAAGGUAGGACAGAUGAUUAGGGUGAAGUCGUAACAAGGUAUC